AUUGAACGCUGGCGGCAUGCCUUACACAUGCAAGUCGAACGGUAACAGGUCUUCGGAUGCUGACGAGUGGCGAACGGGUGAGUAAUACAUCGGAACGUGCCCGAUCGUGGGGGAUAACGGAGCGAAAGCUUUGCUAAUACCGCAUACGAUCUACGGAUGAAAGCAGGGGACCGCAAGGCCUUGCGCGGACGGAGCGGCCGAUGGCAGAUUAGGUAGUUGGUGGGAUAAAAGCUUACCAAGCCGACGAUCUGUAGCUGGUCUGAGAGGACGACCAGCCACACUGGGACUGAGACACGGCCCAGACUCCUACGGGAGGCAGCAGUGGGGAAUUUUGGACAAUGGGCGCAAGCCUGAUCCAGCCAUGCCGCGUGCAGGAUGAAGGCCUCGGUUGUAACUGCUUUGUACGGACGAAAGACUACUUCUAAUAAGAGGUCCGAUGACGGUACCGUAAGAAUAAGACACCGGCUAACUACGUAGCCAGCAGCCGCGGUAACACG
rnacentral:rRNA from 1 species